CGGUUAUCCCGUGGUCAUUUGAGCCGGCCGGCUUGCCGCCACGUUAAACAAGGAUGCUAAAAGGCCGGGGACACGUGCGC
rnacentral:ncRNA from 2 species